rnacentral:lncRNA from 1 species
GGCUGGUUGGAAAUUUCAGCUUUAAAUGGUAGGUUGACAUGACGGCUCGGGGAGCAUUGAGGCUGGGUCGGCCGAGGAUCGCGUUGUAGGCUGACGGUGCCUUCACCACCAGAAAAUUUACCAGAGCCCUGGAUUAUCUUGGAUAUCGACCCGCAGCUACUGUCAAAGUUAUUACUCCCUCCAUCGGGAUAGCAUCACCGGUAAACCCCACUAGAGGGGAGCUAAUCGGC